GGCCGCGUAGUGUAGUGGUUAGCACGCAGGAUUUUGAUUGCAAAUUUGCAAAUAAAUUCCUGAGACCUGAGUUCAAUCCUCGGCGGGGCCU
rnacentral:tRNA from 1 species